ensembl:lncRNA
UUUAGAACUUCAGUUGGAUCGACCUGAUCUGAGCCAAUUAUUUUCCCCGACAGAAUUAAUUAGAAUGCAUAUAAAGUGAGUGAGAUGUGAAAGGCAGAAUUACUUAUUCCAUUAACAGCUGGUUUGGGGGGAAAAAGAGACUGUCCUUGAUUUGGCUUUGCUGCAGCCUUGUCAUGAAGAAGGCACUCAGGGUUUUCACAUGGGAAGCUGUUCUGCUGGCAGCCAUAGUUCAGUUGAUGUUGGUUUGCAUCAACAAGCUCCCUGCGCUCCUCCAUUUGCGAUGAUAAGGGCUGGCUGUUUAAACACCAUCACAGAAUCCAGACUCCCUCCAUGCUCAGAACAACUGUUGCUUGGAGCUCUUCUGCAGAGCUAAUUUAUUGCCAAUGAAAGUGAGAUGUAAAUAGCUUGCAGCAGGUACGCAAGCAGGCAUUUCUUCACUGUGCAGUGCCUGGAAAAGAGCCAGCUGGUGCACAUACACAGGACUGGGGGAGUGGCCUUUCAGGCACAGGGAAAAGCAGGACUGGCUUUGAAAGCAAUAACUGCCAUAUGGGAAUAACUGCAGCCAAAGUGGGGAUAAACUGAGAAGCUGGAAACUCAUGCUUAAGUUUCCUUGGGACUCCUCUCUUCUCCAGAGUAACUCUGCACACCCCAUCCUAUAUGAAUAAUUAAUUCUAGGGCAAUAUACAUGCCAGUACAUUAAGAUAAAAUCUAUUUUCUUUUCAAACACAGAUCAUGAGAAACAAGUGUGAUGAAGAACACGAGGCUGAGGCCAGCUUCCAUCCUGCGCCUGGUGAGAGAGGUUCACAUUGCCCCACUGAGCCUUCCUGUGCCCUGCCCUGGAUGUUCCAGCUCUGCUUGUACCCAGAAAAAAAGAGUGUCACCCACGCAGAAGCUGUAGAUGCCCAAAGAAUCCAUUUGAAUGGCUUCAGUAUCUAUCACUUUACUUCUGCUUACGAAGAAGACUCUGUCUGUUGCUUGAGCAGAGGCUCCUGUGCAAUGAGCUGCAACUCUUCCUGAGUCUAAGAGCCUGAAAGUGCCAUCUGAAUGAAGACCGUGGCCCCAAAUGUAGUUCUACGAGGAGAAAAAGUUGUAAACAGCUGUCAUGCAACUUGCAGGCUCAGUCCUUUGUGAGAUGGGUAAUGUGAAGGAUGCAAUGAAAAUCAGCAUUUGACCAGCUGAACUUUGAGGACAAAGUCAACCUACAGAUAAAGAUGUUAUGAUUUCUUUCAAAAAACAGACUUGCUAUUUUAUAUCAAGACAGAAGUGGUGGCAUAUGUCUGAGUUCACUACAUAAACUUGUGGUUGAGAUGAGACAUCAGUUAUUACUAUGUCAAGCAAAGAACAGGAAAGGCCAGAAAGACCUUGCACUGGUCUUUAACAACAAAGGACAGUUCCCCACAGAGCUGUCACUAGCGAAUAGACUCUGAGGAAAUGGGUUUUCUUCAGGAACAAGGAGGAGUUUUAAACAGAAAGAUCUGCAUCAAAGUAUCUUUCUUGAUGGCUUUGAAGCCCAAACGGUGAGCCAAAGGUAUGUCCUACAUAGUCUUAUGGAAAAUAAGGAAGUGGUUUUCUAUCAGUUCCUGGAGUAUAAGGUUGGAAGGGACUCUUUGAGACACUCUCCUCACACACUUUGGGCUGUUGAUUCUGUCCUGUUCACCUCUGUUGAGCCUGACUGUGUAAAUCUAACAGCAUUAUGUCCAGAAAAAGCUUCAGCUGAUUUUUGACAUUAAUAACGUGUCUGGACUGUUCAGUCUUUCUCUCCUCUCUUUUAGAGGUAAAAGACUGGCAGAAACAUUCAGGGCCUGAAUCAGCAGAGACUCACCAGCUUCUGUGACAGAAGUCUGGUAGGAAAACGGCUAUUAUCAUCCAGGAUUAAAACACUCUGUAUUAUGUUUCCACAGGCAUUAUUGUUUAGUCACAUACAAUCUGAUUAUGAGUCACUGAAACUUACAUUGUGCAAAAAAAUGGUCAUGUAGCUCAUGUAGAAGUGAAUGCAAUUCCAGUAGCUUCACCCAAACGAAACUUACCCCAGACUGGGAUUUGACUACGUGUGAAAAACUAUCGAAUGUCCUACAAGGAAAAUGCUCAGCAGUAUUAAAUUGUUCAGUCAGAUCUAUGGUGAGCACUUGAUCAAAGUUGUGCAUUCUUUUAAAAAGUCCAUUGAAAGAAUGUUCCUUAGCAGACAGACAGUAUAUUAAUGAAAGAUGAUAGUAUAUGCCUCAAAUUAUGCCAGAGGAGAAAUCAAUUACUGGGAAAAUGGAUGAAGCAAAUGAUCUCUACCUUCUGCAGUCUCUGUGCUAUUUUUGCCCUUUGCAAUCUGAUUUCCAUGAAACAUUUCUGAAGAGUGCAUGGUUUCUGAACAUAAAUUCCUUAGACUUGCUACUAUGAAUGCCAUAAUUGCAGACUAAAGAGACAGUGCCCUGUUCCAAAGGCCUUUGACUGGGAAAGACUAUUUCAAAGGGAACCUGCAUCUCAUGCACUGCCCAAGUAGGAGUUAGACUGACAGAGGGAGGUGUAAACUCCUUGAAGGCGGAUGAUGGGGAGGGUAUAUAUUAUCUCCAGUGGUAUAGGCUGAGUUCAUGUUCAGAAUCCAAAUACAAUUUCACUUUGAUUUUAAUGCCUCCUGUCAACUCAUGUUGAUGCAAGAUUCUGGUGUAGCAUCCUGAAUUACACUUGCUUGUAACUGGUUUCACCCAGUGGAUUUUACAAUAAUAAUGAAGUAACUUGCAAUGUGUUUUUAUAAGUAUGCGUUUGCUUUGAACACUGCUGCUUAAAGGAUCCUUGCUUCUUCAGCUCCCCUUCAGUAUUCUUUUUAUUCCUUCUGAACAACUCUUCCUACAUCCUCCCACCUAGCAGAUAUCAGAAAAACAUUUGAGCUUUGCUCAACCAAUCUUAUUUUCAGAAGAAGAGAUGUUUCUUAUUGGCACACCAGGACAGGGUCAGCACCAACAAAUCAACUGUGUCCACCACCACUAUCCCCAGCAAUGGCCUUCAGGUGAAAUUUUGCCCUGGAGAAGUGAGAUGCAGGCUCAGCAUCUGCUCCAGUAACUUCCAUGAGGAUAUCAUCCCUGAUAGGAUCUGUAUGGCUGCUGCUGUGAGAUACAUUGCCUCCCAUCCAGGUGUGUGUGUGGAGUGGCUCAACUCACAGGCCCUCACUCUUGCUUUGCUCCACAAGGAGUGCUUCUAGAUGCCUAUGGCAAUAAACAAAAUUCCCAGGGGUUUUACUGUUGCUGC